rnacentral:tRNA from 1 species
CCGGUCGUAGGGAAGUUGGUAUCCCGCGAGUCUGGGGGACUCGAGAUCGCGGGUUCGAGCCCCGCCGAUCGGA